rnacentral:rRNA from 1 species
UACGUAGGGUGCGAGCGUUAAUCGGAAUUACUGGGCGUAAAGCGUGCGUAGGCGGUUCGUUAUGUCUGCUGUGAAAGCCCCGGGCUUAACCUGGGAAUGGCAGUGGAAACUGGCGGGCUUGAGUGUGGCAGAGGGGGGUGGAAUUCCGCGUGUAGCAGUGGAAUGCGUAGAGAUGCGGAGGAACACCGAUGGCGAAGGCAGCCCCCUGGGCUGACACUGACGCUGAGGCACGAAAGCGUGGGGAGCAAACAGG